rnacentral:rRNA from 1 species
GACGAACGCUGGCGGCGUGCUUAACACAUGCAAGUCGAACGGUGAAGCGCCUUCCUUUUUGGUGGGUGUGGAUGAGUGGCGAACGGGUGAGUAACACGUGAGUAACCUGCCCCCUUCUUCUGGAUAACCGCAUGAAAGUGUGGCUAAUACGGGAUAUUCUGGGUCUGUCGCAUGAUGGGUCUGGGAAAGAUAUUGUUUCGGUGGGGGAUGGGCUCGCGGCCUAUCAGCUUGUUGGUGGGGUGAUGGCCUACCAAGGCGGUGACGGGUAGCCGGCCUGGGAGGGUGGACGGUCACACUGGGGCUGAGGCACGGCCCAGACUCCUACGGGAGGCAGCAGUGGGGAAUAUUGCACAAUGGGCGCAAGCCUGAUGCAGCGACGCCGCGUGAGGGAUGGAGGCCUUCGGGUUGUGAACCCCUUUCGCCAGUGAAGCAGGCCUGCCUCGUUUGUGGGUGGGUUGACGGUAGCUGGAUAAGAAGCGCCGGCUAACUACGUG